CGCCCGAUGACUGAAAGGAAGUGUAGGUCUUUUAAACCUAUUAUAGUACAACGAAUACUUCUGGCGA
rnacentral:tRNA from 1 species